AGCAUGCAAGUCAAACGGAAUGUAGCAAUACAUUUAGUGGCGAACGGGUGAGUAACGCGUGGAUGAUCUACCUAUGAGAUGGGGAUAACUACUAGAAAUAGUAGCUAAUACCGAAUAAGGUCAAUUAAUUUGUUAAUUGAUGAAAGGAAGCCUUUAAAGCUUCGCUUGUAGAUGAGUCUGCGUCUUAUUAGUUAGUUGGUGGGGUAAAUGCCUACCAAGACGAUGAUAAGUAACCGGCCUGAGAGGGUGAACGGUCACACUGGAACUGAGAUACGGUCCAGACUCCUACGGGAGGCAGCAGCUAAGAAUCUUCCGCAAUGGGCGAAAGCCUGACGGAGCGACACUGCGUGAAUGAAGAAGGUCGAAAGAUUGUAAAAUUCUUUUAUAAAUGAGGAAUAAGCUUUGUAGGAAAUGACAAAGCGAUGACGUUAAUUUAUGAAUAAGCCCCGGCUAAUUACGUGCCAGCAGCCGCGGUAAUACG
rnacentral:rRNA from 1 species